rnacentral:rRNA from 1 species
GAAUGCUGACAUAAGUAACGAUAAAGCGGGUGAAAAGCCCGCUCGCCGGAAGACCAAGGGUUCCUGUCCAACGUUAAUCGGGGCAGGGUGAGUCGACCCCUAAGGCGAGGCCGAAAGGCGUAGUCGAUGGGAAACGGGUUAAUAUUCCCGUACUUGGUGUUACUGCGAAGGGGGGACGGAGAAGGCUAUGUUGGCCGGGCGACGGUUGUCCCGGUUUAAGCGUGUAGGUGUGUGUUCCAGGUAAAUCCGGUUCACUUUAACACUGAGGCGUGACGACGAGGCACUACGGUGCUGAAGCAACAAAUGCCCUGCUUCCAGGAAAAGCCUCUAAGCAUCAGGUAACACGAAAUCGUACCCCAAACCGACACAGGUGGUCAGGUAGAGAAUACCAAGGCGCUUGAGAGAACUCGGGUGAAGGAACUAGGCAAAAUGGUGCCGUAACUUCGGGAGAAGGCACGCUGACACGUAGGUGAAGUGAUUUACUCAUGGAGCUGAAGUCAGUCGAAGAUACCAGCUGGCUGCAACUGUUUAUUAAAAACACAGCACUGUGCAAACACGAAAGUGGACGUAUACGGUGUGACGCCUGCCCGGUGCCGGAAGGUUAAUUGAUGGGGUCAGCGCAAGCGAAGCUCCUGAUCGAAGCCCCGGUAAACGGCGGCCGUAACUAUAACGGUCCUAAGGUAGCGAAAUUCCUUGUCGGGUAAGUUCCGACCUGCACGAAUGGCGUAAUGAUGGCCAGGCUGUCUCCACCCGAGACUCAGUGAAAUUGAACUCGCUGUGAAGAUGCAGUGUACCCGCGGCAAGACGGAAAGACCCCGUGAACCUUUACUAUAGCUUGACACUGAACAUUGAGCCUUGAUGUGUAGGAUAGGUGGGAGGCUUUGAAGUGUGGACGCCAGUCUGCAUGGAGCCGACCUUGAAAUACCACCCUUUAAUGUUUGAUGUUCUAACGUGGACCCGUAAUCCGGGUUGCGGACAGUGUCUGGUGGGUAGUUUGACUGGGGCGGUCUCCUCCUAAAGAGUAACGGAGGAGCACGAAGGUUGGCUAAUCCUGGUCGGACAUCAGGAGGUUAGUGCAAUGGCAUAAGCCAGCUUGACUGCGAGCGUGACGGCGCGAGCAGGUGCGAAAGCAGGUCAUAGUGAUCCGGUGGUUCUGAAUGGAAGGGCCAUCGCUCAACGGAUAAAAGGUACUCCGGGGAUAACAGGCUGAUACCGCCCAAGAGUUCAUAUCGACGGCGGUGUUUGGCACCUCGAUGUCGGCUCAUCACAUCCUGGGGCUGAAGUAGGUCCCAAGGGUAUGGCUGUUCGCCAUUUAAAGUGGUACGCGAGCUGGGUUUAGAACGUCGUGAGACAGUUCGGUCCCUAUCUGCCGUGGGCGCUGGAGAACUGAGGGGGGCUGCUCCUAGUACGAGAGGACCGGAGUGGACGCAUCACUGGUGUUCGGGUUGUCAUGCCAAUGGCACUGCCCGGUAGCUAAAUGCGGAAGAGAUAAGUGCUGAAAGCAUCUAAGCACGAAACUUGCCCCGAGAUGAGUUCUCCCUGAGACUUUAGGUCUCCUGAAGGAACGUUGAAGACGACGACGUUGAUAGGCCGGGUGUGUAAGCGCAGCGAUGCGUUGAGCUAACCGGUACUAAUGAACCGUGAGGCUUAACCUU